CCUACGGGUGGCAGCAGUGGGGAAUAUUGCACAAUGGGGGAAACCCUGAUGCAGCGACGCCGCGUGAGCGAUGAAGUAUUUCGGUAUGUAAAGCUCUAUCAGCAGGGAAGAAAAUGACGGUACCUGACUAAGAAGCCCCGGCUAACUACGUGCCAGCAGCCGCGGUAAUACGUAGGGGGCAAGCGUUGUUCGGAAUUACUGGGCGUAAAGGGAGUGUAGGCGGUUUAGUAAGAUAGUGGUGAAAUCCCAGGGCUUAACUUUGGAAUUGCCAUUAUAACUAUUAGACUAGAAUUACAGAGAGGAUAGUGGAAUACCCAGUGUAGAGGUGAAAUUCGUAGAUAUUGGGUAGAACACCAGUGGCGAAGGCGACUAUCUGGCUGUACAUUGACGCUGAGGCUCGAAAGCAUGGGGAUCAAACAGGAUUAGAUACCCCUGUAGUC
rnacentral:rRNA from 1 species